GUCUACGGCCAUACCACGUUGAAAGCACCGGUUCUCGUCCGAUCACCGAAGUUAAGCAACGUCGGGCCCGGUUAGUACUUGGAUGGGUGACCGCCUGGGAACACCGGGUGUUGUAGACA
rnacentral:rRNA from 1 species